UUUGCAAUUCAUUUCCGUGCGCCAACGUUCUCACUAACUGGCACAAGUUAUUGUGGCACACAUUAUCGCUGUAAAGGCCAGUACAUUCCUUCAUUACUUAUGAUCAAUCCUCCCAAUUCGCUAUCAAAUGGCAGACACUGAUAUGGGAGACAUUAUUGAAAAUCGUCAAAAUGUGCCCUUCAAAUAUGAAACUGUUUGCAAGAAUUUUGAAAGAUUGCUUAAGAAAGUACCGGAGGAACAAUUUGAGGACACCGUCCAUGAAAUAAAUACAUUGCUUUCCAAUAAAAUUAAAGAAACUAGUAUUAAAUCAGGGCGCCUAGGACUUCCAUAUCCACCGAAUGCCUUGCAACAAUAAAUGGUGGUACUUCUACCCAAGCCCGGCAUGGGGGUAUAGCCUCGCAUCCUUUCUACAAAAAAAAAAACCCAAAAAAACCAAACCAUAGAAAUUUGUUAGUAAAACAGCAAAAAUGUUUGCUGUAACAGCGGAAAAUCUGCUGAAAAUGGGACAGCCGUAAUUUUUUGCUAAAACAGCAAACAUUUUUUGCUGCUUACAAGUUAAAACAAAAAAAAAAAAAACAAAAUAGCUCAAAAAUGUCAUAAAUGUAUCAUAAUAUUUUCGACCUUAUCUUUUAACUUUGCAUGUAAAUAAAGAAAAACGUUCUUAAAUUUUCUACAAUUUGUUAA